CCACGCUCCGCCCGCCCCGCGGCUGCCAGCCCGGCCCUGCUUCCCAGGGAGCCCGCGGGGCGGCCGGGGGAUGCGCCGGGGCGCCCGGCACCAGCAAGUCCCUCCUCCGCCGCCGCCUCCUGCCGCCGCGCCUGUGCGGCCGCCUCCCCCCGCAGCAGCGCCGGUGCCCGGCCGCGGCGCCCAUGGCGGCCGAGCCGCAGCCCAAGGCGCUCACCCGCAAGCCCCUCCUGCUGCACAAGGUGGAGGGCUCGCAGGAGGUGGUGAACAUGGCAGCGAUUGUGCCCAAGGAGGACGGGGUCAUCAGCGUCUCCGAGGACAGAACGGUUCGUGUCUGGCUGAAGAGAGACAGUGGACAGUACUGGCCCAGCAUAUACCAUGCAAUGCCAUCUCCAUGUUCAUGCAUGUCUUUUAACCCGGAAACCAGAAGGCUGUCCAUAGGUCUAGACAAUGGUACAAUCUCAGAAUUCAUUUUGUCAGAAGAUUACAACAAGAUGACACUAGUGAAAAGUUACCAGGCUCAUCAAAGCAGGGUCAUGAUGAUCCUGUUUGUCCUGGAGAUGGAGUGGGUGUUAAGUACUGGACAAGACAAGCACUUCACAUGGCACUGCUCGGAGAGUGGCCAGCGGCUCGGAGGGUACCGCACCAACGCAGGGGCCUGUGGCCUGCAAUUUGAUGUGGAAACUCGGCAUGUGUUUGUUGGUGAUCACUCUGGACAAGUGACCAUACUCAAACUAGAGCAAGAGUCCUGCAGCCUCGUUACAACAUUUAAGGGACACACAGGUGGUGUCACUGCUCUCUGUUGGGACCCAGUACAGCGAGUUUUAUUCUCGGGCAGUUCAGAUCAUUCCAUUAUAAUGUGGGAUAUUGGAGGAAGAAAAGGAACAGCCAUCGAGCUGCAAGGGCAUAAUGACAAAGUUCAGUCUCUCUCUUAUGCUCACCACACUCGACAGCUCAUCUCUUGCGGUGCAGACGGUGGCAUCGUUGUCUGGAACAUGGAUGUUGAGAGACAGGAGACACCCGAAUGGUUGGACAGCGACUCCUGUCAAAAAUGUGACCAGCCUUUCUUCUGGAACUUCAAACAGAUGUGGGACAAUAAGAAAAUAGGCCUCAGGCAGCAUCACUGCCGGAAGUGUGGGAAAGCUGUGUGUGGUAAAUGCAGUUCCAAGCGCUCCUCCAUCCCGCUGAUGGGAUUUGAGUUUGAAGUGAGGGUCUGCGAUAGCUGUCACGAGUCCAUAACAGAUGAAGAGCGGGCACCCACGGCUACUUUCCAUGACAGUAAGCACAACAUAGUUCAUGUACACUUUGAUGCCACCAGGGGAUGGCUGUUGACCUCGGGGACAGACAAAGUUAUUAAGUUGUGGGAUAUGACACCAGUAGUAUCUUGAUGAUACAUCAGUGGAACUUGGAAGGUGGUAUUUACAGAAGAAACGGAUUCCUAACCCUAAUCAUACUGCAGAAGAUAGGUAACGCUGGGCGCCUGUGGCAGAUGAGGAAGGAACUAAUGCGUUUACAACAAUUUUAUGUCCUCUGCUUGAUCAAGGCUGAACAUUUGCACGAAGACUCUUUCCAUUUAUUCUCAAAAUAUACAAGAAGAGGGAUCAUAUCUGAAAAAUCAUCUCUCAAUUCCUGUAAUCCAUUUCGCUUUUAAACACACCAUUGUUGGUGCUCUUGGAAGGAACUGGCUUAGGAAACAGAGCUGCAGAGCAGACCGAGGAGUUUCCUGUCUCUCCUAUUUAAGCAGGUCUGGUGGUCUGAAUUGUUGUGACCAGCAACUCAUUGGUGCUCAAUUUUGCCCCAUUUUGUACUUUCCUUUUCCCCCCUAAAGUGGGGAGGUGAUUAUUUUUACCACUGUAAAAGCACAUUGCUACGUAGAGAAAAGUCACAUUUGGUGUUGAGUGAUAACUCUAAAAGAAGGUAAAGCUUCUCCUUUGCUUGCCUGGCUGUAAUUCAUGUUUGAGCAGGGCAAGGGGGAGGGGGGAAGCAAUCUGUGGCAUUAAUUCUUGGCUGAUUAAUUGCCACAGUAAAGGGUGAGUAGUGUAUGUGGUAGGACUGCUACAUAUUUUCAAGGAAUUUUUUCUUUUUAUGCACCCUAGGAAGUGGGCUCAAGCAUUUUGCAAUCCUGUUGUCUGAAAUCAUGCCACUCUGGCUUUCCUGGCCAUAAAGCCUGUUGGUCCCCCUGUAGGCAGUGUAUUUUAAUGCACAUUCUCAAACAUGAUUCACAUAGCACUAAAAAGAUUCUUUUUUCCAGUUUAAAUGUUAAUUCUUUUGUAAGUCCUCCUACUUUCUCUCCUGGAAGCUGGAUGUUUGUUUCCUCUUGGACGGCUUUUCAUUCCACCUUGUGCACAUUUUCUGAUGACUGAAGUGUUCUUGGCUGACGAAGCUAGGCAAGAUGAGCGAGUGGCCUGCCAAGGUUUCAUUUCAGCUGGAGAAGGUGUGUGCAACUUUGCUGGACUAUGCUGUUCUACAUUACCUUGGACUCAGGGCCUUUUGGCCAAAGACAGAUCUGCAUUGCUGCCACACAGAAUAUUUCACACACAGGCAGAAACAUGGGAGCACUGAAGUAGACUUAAAUCACUGCUCAGCUUGUGUUCCUGAGGAGAUGAAACGGCUGCAACAAGCCUGGAUACAGCGUGAAUUGUGCUUAUCUUAACAGAACUGUGAAAUCGGCAGGCUGAGGAUCUGCCUCUGGGUCAAUACUCAGUCCUUUUGUACCAUGUGAAAAUUCAAAUAAAAGUGGGAGGCCAAACUCUAAAGAAGACUAUAUCUGGGAGCAAGGUGUGUUUGGACUACUCUGCAGUAAACUCCUGGACCCCCUUCCCUUCCCAAGGAGUUGUGGUUUCAGUGUCGCAAAGAAACUUAUGGGUGCUGGCUAUACAAAUCCAUUUUGUAAAAUGUCCCUUUCUGUUUUUUCUGACUAAAGUACCUGCAGGGUUAUCUGAAUUUAACUUGAAUGUCCCAGUGUCUUGCAGUCUCAGGAUAAAAUGCUCCUGGCUUAGGAAAUCAUAUAAGCUGAAGGGGGAGCUGGAGCUGGGGCUGGGGGCGGGGGGAGGUGGAAGGGAAGUGUGUCCCCUUGCUAUCAUCUUAAAAGAUAUAAUGUAGAGAUAUCAAGGGAAAAUAGGCAUGUGUAACUCAUACAGUAAUUGCUUUACCUCCCAAAUGAAACUAGAAGAAUUUGACAUUGGGAGAGGUAAAAAUGCCUCCCCUCCUCUACUGCUUGUUAGUGUAACAGUAUUGAUUUCUUUUGUCGUUUUGAUCAGCACAAAUAGGGAUCCCUGCUGCCUGGGCCUUUCUUUCCGUUUUAGUUGCAGAAUAACAAACCUGAGCUAUUUUUAUGAAUUGCCCUCUUUGGAGGGGGUAGAGUGUGUUUCAGUGCAGGUGCAUACUCUGCAAUGCCCCCACAAUAUUUUCUGCUGUGCCAAUGGGCACGCAACCAAUGCCAGUCUUCCUCUGCUCUUGAGUUUAGAACAAAUAGAUUUUCAUCUCUCUCUUAACUUGCGUUUCUUUGGGGGAAGAAGUUGUGCUUUUCAGAGAAUCUCCUGCAAUUUCUAGUUUUAAAAAUGAACAGCAGCUGUAGUGCUUACGCAGUAGUGGGGCAGACAUUGGUCCCGUACCUAGUGCCUGAGCAGCAGACUUGAGCCAUGCAUGUACCGGGCAGCUGAAGGAAGAUAGAUCUCAGACCUGGAGUCUCCUUGGCUCCAGACUUUGAAGCUGAAAAUAGAUGAAGGCAAAAAGUAUGUGGGCAGCUGCUUGCCAGGGUAACACUGAUGUUUCUUCCUUCUAGGGGAAGCUAACCUCACGGUUAGUCAUUUUGAAACCAGGUAGUGCUAAGGGUUAAAAGUUGGGCAUUAUUAGAGAGACUAGUUCCGUAUGCUGGUGGCAUUAGUGUGCCCAUCUGCUAGCACUCUUGUUUACAGCUACUUCUCAGAGGAAAGCCCAAGUGACCUCCCCACCUCAAUCUUGUGAACUUGAGACCACCACCUGAAUGUCAGUGCAUUACCUCUUAGGGCAUCAGAAGGGAAAACUGCGUAUGUAUGUUGUGCUUUGUCUGGGAGAGUGAUAUGACUAUCUUCAGCACGGGGAAAAGGAGGGAUGUGUUGCCUGUGCUUGGGGUUGGUUGCUGAUAAGAAGGUGGACUGUUGGACACACAAAAAGGGUUGUGCAGGAUCCAGAAAAAGCUGUAGAAAGAAAACAUUUGCUUGUUUCCUCAGCUUGCCCACUGAGGAAAUCACUGUUGGAGAGGAAUUUGCAUAUUUUUCUCUAGAGGAGCCCACCAAACACUUCCAUCUACUGUGUGACUUAAAAAAUGAAGAAAAGAUGUAUCUUUCUUUAAAUCUAAAAUAUUAGGGCUAUUGCCUGUAUUUGUGAAUGCUACAUAUGACUGUCCUCACUGUUUACAAUAGGGUUUGGGUAAGAACAACUAAAAUUCAGUUUUGUAGCAUGUAGAAGAUAGUUCUACAGUGUGUGGUUUGGCAUGCCCUGAUCCUUUCCAGGAGACCUCAGGGAGCAAAUGGGAUGUUUUCAGUUAUGAGUUAAAGGCUUUGUUUCUAUAUGUGACAAUAGAAUGCAGCAAUAACAACAAGCUUGCUCCCAUUUCAGGAUGGAUUAAUGUGCUGAGUCCCUUCAGCAUCAGCCUCUUGUGUAAUACUGAUGGAAAGGAGGAGCCAGCUUUUCUCUCCAAAAUCACAUGUGAAAAUUGGCAGAAAAUCUUUGAACCUUAGAAGAACUCCCCUAGUUUGACCAAUAACCUGAAGUUCCUAAAUUUAAGUUUCAGAGAUUAACUCUUCGUGGUUGCAUGUAACUUUUUAUUGCAUUUCCCCAGUUCAGGGGGGACUUUGAACUCAACCUCUUCUGUUCUUAGCAGCACAACGUUGUCCUGCAGCAAACCAUCAGAGAUGGUCGAAGACAAGCCACAGUGCAAAGGCAUUGAAAUCGCUGCCAUGUAGGGACAUCAAACUCAAAACAAAAUGGAAACAAAACAGCACAGUCUACUGGCAAAGUGAUUGCAAAGGAAAGAUGCCAAGAAUGAAUGUUAUCGGCAUACAAAAAGAGCCAGUAGUCUAGAAGUGAAUAUUCAUCAGAAUUGUACAAAGAUGAACCAUCUCAGUCCUCACAUUAUAAGCCAACCAGCAGUCCUGGUCAGGACCCAGAUGCCACGAGGAAUAGAGUUGUUCUGGUGAGGGGGUGGUAGACUGAACCUAUGAAGAUCUAACUUGUUUCUUGUUCUUUCUUAGUUGCCUACUAGUAGCAUCUGCCUACCUCAAGGAGUGCUGAGAAAUGCGUUAAAUGUGGAUGCACUUAGAUAUUUAAAUGAUGGGAGAGAGACAUAACUAUUGACAUGGUGCUGGGAGGUGUCAGGCCUUAAGGAGAUGCUGGUUCUGCCCCUCUCCAGUUACUUGUUCCUGUAUAUUAAAUAAUCUCAAUGUAUUAAAAGUUUUAUCACCUUUACACUUUCCAAGCUUGUUCGCACAUUUUUUUCCUCCCUAUUACCAGAAUUCAGCAACUUUGUAGAUACUAACCAAUACAAAUACUUUGUAGCAGGUCUGGGCUUUCCUCAGAUUUGAAAGACUCACUCACUAAGCCCUCAACUUUGUCCUGUCCCAAGAAAAUGUCUCUACUAAUUCUGUGGGAUUGCUGCUACCAAGUAUUCAAUAAAGUUUCAGCAAAAAUGAGUGCAUGAACUUAAUUCAUCCUUAGUUUCAAAUUAUUUUCUCUGAAAUUUUCACCACUCUGUCUUUGAUGUUGAGUAAAAUCUUAUUUCUUCUUCUCGCACCCUGCCUGCAGCCAAUACCAUAGUUCUCUGGCUUACAGCUCGGAUGUAAACCUGAUUAUCUCUGGUUUGGACACUGAAGUUACGUGCUCAGUGUCCAGACAGUACUGCAGCAAACAAAGAUACACAGCUGAAGUUAUGCUGUAAGAACAGGAUGACCAAUAAAAGCCACAUACUGAUAAAUACCAUCUACCAGGCAUCUGCUGUAUGACAUUGUUACUUCAGAAAAUCUGGUUUUUCUUGACUAGUCCAAAUGUGUGAUUUAGUUUUCCAAAGUCUGCAAAGGAAUUUUGACUGUCUUUGUUUGGUUAGUUCUCAAGUCCACCAUACUAACCAAUACAACUCUUGUGUACUUCAUUGUCUUUCAGAAUAUAGAGAUUUUACAUGAAAAAUAUUUCCGGCUUUGGUUCUGGUCAGUGUUUUCUAGGGAUAUUGCUCAGCAAUUGGAUCACUUUUUUUCUCUAUUAUAUUGGAACACUUUUCUCCUCCAUUCCUUUAUGUAAGUAGGCGUCUCCAACAUAACUGAAUAAAUCGUGCUAGUUCAACUCAACUGAAUUUAUUUCCAUCAACUUCUGUCUAUUGCUUUUCCUCUUCUGUGUGUGUGUGUGUGUGUGUGUGUGUUGACUUGUAACAAGGAAUUUGGUGUAUUGAGUUUCACUGGACCCAUUCAUCUACCCAUUCUGUUUGUGGCAUAAAACCAGCAACAAUUAUCUGAGCAAAUGGGGUCAUUCCUUUAACAUGAUGAAUUUUUACUUUCACUACCUGGAAAUGGGUGAGCAGCCCAUGGAAGUGGGCCAUUUGGGCAGUGUGCUGAUUGCCCAGUUCUCUGCAUCACCCCAAGACUGCCUGCUGAUUGCCUUUCUCAACUCCUGCCGUGCCUGGAAAGUAAAGGGAAAAUCACCAAGGGGAAGCUUUUUAGCCAGCAAGGAAAACCUGAAGCUCCCUGAAGUUGGCACUGCUGUGGGUUUUGCCACUCUUCUUCUGUCCAUCAGCGUUUGUGUCUGUGAAGUACCACUUCCAUUGCUGGCACGGCAAAGAUUUGAGUUUUCUCUUGAUUUCUUGUGACUGGUGGAAAGCCUGCCCUGCUGCAGCCCUUUGGCCAACGUGACACUGUCUGUCUUUGGAAGGCUGUGCGUCAGGUCUACCUUGCUAGGGAGCAGGUUUUCUUCACAAGAAUGCACCGUCUUUCCAAACAUGUAUCUGCUGGCUUCCUCUAGAGAGGAACAUAAAUGCUGACCUACUUCAUAACCAAAGUUCUUGCAUUUGGACACUUUUAGUCUCAGAAAUAUUGUUUAUGUUACACUCCCUCCCCUUUAAGUUUUUUGCCUUUUCGAUAUUCCUUUCUCUUUCUUAGUGUCUAGAUCAGUGCUAUAAGGAUUGUUGCUGGAAUACAGUUUUCAAGUCCUUUUAUUUGCAUUUCAAAACUACCUUCUGUAAUCAGUCACUGUGUCUGUCCAAAUGCACCCAGAACGUCAAGACACUGAUGGACAAACAGAGAAAUUGCCUGAGAUGAGAUGGAAGAGAUCUGAAGCUUCCCUCUUUCAUUCAAAAUGUUAACAGCUCAUUUUAAAAGCCACCUGGGGAAUGCUGAUCAGCACUAAUUUUAGAUUAAUGGGAUCCAGUGUCAUAAGAAGGGGAGGAUCUCUCUCUCUCUCUCUCUUUUUUUUUUUUUUUUAAGCAGGGAGUGUGAGUGAGCAUCACAGACAAGAAAUGGAGGAAGGCCCUAGGCAAAAGGAAGUUAUAGAUUAAACUAGUUUAUAGCUGCCCUUCUCCACUGAAGUCAAUGACCACUGGCUUGUUCUCUGAAAGAGUAAUUUUAUACUCUGGCAAUAGCACUUAAACUAUGCUCAUGCUCCACUCACUGAAUUAAACAUUGUUUAAUGAAAACUAAUCCUAUCCAUUAUGUCUUUAAAGACUGCUCUGUCAUAUAUAUUCCAAGAAUAUAUAUGACAUGUCUAUAUUCCAAGAAUAUAAUUACUGACCAAAUUGAAGAAUGGAAGGUAUGGCCCAGGGCUCUGUUCCCCAAAUAAAAUGUUAGCACUGAGUUCUUCAGCACUGACUGGAGGCAGUUUAUAUUGAAGGCCUUAGUAAAACUCCCAGCUCUGAGCCCAAGCUGGGCACGUUUCAAAAAUCCCACCUCAGUCAUUUUUAACAGGAAGGGGUGUCCCUGUUUGAGUCACCUUACCAGGGACUGGAAACAGUGUUAGUGUGGAGAGUUAGAACAGCACAAAAGCUGGCAGGUACGUUAGUGCAAAUGCAAACAGUUAGUAUUUGCAGGUUACACCAGAACAGUGAGGUAUUUAUAUUUAAAAUGCUUUCCAAUUUAGUAGUAGGGUUUGUGUUUUUAUGGGCUUGGGGGAAUUUUGUUGUGGUACAUAUGAAGUUACUUUUUUUGGCCCACCCCUGCUUUCUAUAGAGAACAGUUCUACAAAAACCAAAAAUACAAGAACGCUGGCAGAGCCCUGAUACUCAAAACCAGGCUACUAACAAUUGUUUAUACCUUUAGUCAACGACAGUUCUGUUUUGUUUUGUUUUUUAACAAAGAACAAACAUGGCCCAAAAAUGAAACAUCAGGAAAAGAGGAAAUGCUGUUUACAAAAUCAUCUGGUAUCUGUUACACGAACCUAAAAUUUUCACCAAAGACUAGGAAGACGUUCCAGUGGCAUCUGUUUCUUGUGCAUCUGCAUCGCUGCAGUCAGUCCUGCUGCGGUGGUGAUGGGCCUUGUGUCCCCACUGGGACAUGGGGAAAUGACUCCGCCUGUGGUCUAUGGUCUUGCAUUCCUGUUUGUGCAAAAUCCCCAUUCAGAAUGUGAAUAAUUAAACAACUGAGGUCAGACUCAUAUAAGCUUGAAAGAUGAUAUAAGAAGAGCUGGGCUGUGAGUGGAAAGGGAAGUGAAGUAAGCACAGCCGUUGUGCUAGUAUUUCAGGUCCUAUAAAACAGGUGUGUUUUUAAGUCCUUAAUGCGCCUGGCUUAACAGGAAUUGGUACCACCUUAUAUUUCUGAUAAUCUUUCACUGGAUGCCAUUUUUCUCUUGCUCCUAAAAAUUUUAGAGGUGACACUAAAUGUAUUUGCUUACAUGCAGGUACAAUUUAUUCUGAACUGCAUUAACACAAAACAUCUUGCUGGCUUUAUAACUACAUACCUCAUCUGUUCUUAUGGAAAAGGUGUGAGAUAAAUCAUCACUGGGAACAUAAUACCAAUAGUGUGGGAGACUGCAGAUUUUGUUUCUACUUGCUGUCGUAUAUUCAGUUUUUUUAUCGUAAGUGCACUUAAACCAUAAUAUAAAGUAUCUGGCUCUUUUUUACACUGUGACCAAACUUAGAUUAAAGCAGUUUUCAUACUGUUGCCCUUAUUUCCAACUUAAGCUGUGACUAAAAAGAAAAUUAUGGGAUAUUUAAAUAUAUCAGUACAGAAUAUGGACUAAAAUAUAUGUUAAAGUGCACUUUUGGUUAUUUUUAUCAACUGUUUAGCUAUCUGUCAUUCAACUUUUCUUCUAUACUGCAGAGCUGAGAAGUGAUUUGAGUUUAAACACUCAAGUAUGCAAACAUUGUCUUAAUUUGCUUUGAAGGUACUAGACUGAGAAAUGCAGUUACUAUAUAUGCUUUCUGCCAUGCUUUUGUUUUCAGGAACUGUGUUUAACAGUUUGAACAAUGUAAAAUGUUGUUAAUAUAAGGCUCAUUGGGAAAUAAAUGUCUGUGCGAA